AUUGAACGCUGGCGGCAGGCCUAACACAUGCAAGUCGAGCGGAGCGGCGGACGGGUGAGUAAUGCCUAGGAAUCUGCCUGGUAGUGGGGGAUAACGUCCGGACACGGGCGCUAAUACCGCAUACUAUCAGAUGAGCCUAGGUCGGAUCAGCUAGUGGGUGGGGUAAAGGCCUACCAAGGCGACGAUACGUAACUGGUCUGAGAGGGUGAUCAGUCACACUGGAACUGAGAAACGGUCCUGACUCCUACGGAAGGCAGAAGUGGGGAAUAUUGGACAAUGGGCGAAAGCCGGAUCCAGCCAUGCCGCGUGUGUGAAGAAGGUCUUCGGAUUGUAAAGCACUUUAAGUUGGGAGGCGUGACCAACAGAAUAAGCACCGGCUAACUUCGUGCCAGCAGCCGGGGUAAUUC
rnacentral:rRNA from 1 species